GAUGAAGAACGUAGCGAAAUGCGAUAAGUAAUGUGAAUUGCAGAAUUCAGUGAAUCAUCGAAUCUUUGAACGCACAUUGCGCCCCCUGGUAUUCCGGGGGGCAUGCCUGUCCGAGCGUCAUUACAACCCUCAAGCUCAGCUUGGUAUUGGGCCCCGCCGCUCCGGUGGGCCCUAAAGUCAGUGGCGGUGCCGUCCGGCUCCGAGCGUAGUAAUUCUUCUCGCUCUGGAGGUCCGGUCGUGUGCUCGCCAGCAACCCCCAAUUUUUUUCAGGUUGACCUCGGAUCAGGUAGGGAUACCCGCUGAACUUAAGCAUAUCAAUAAGCGGAGGA
rnacentral:misc_RNA from 1 species